rnacentral:rRNA from 1 species
AGUCAUAUGCUUGUCUCAAAGAUUAAGCCAUGCAUGUCUAAGUAUAAGCAAUCUAUACUGUGAAACUGCGAACGGCUCAUUAAAUCAGUUAUAGUUUAUUUGGUGGUUUCUUACUACAUGGAUAACUGUGGUAAUUCUAGAGCUAAUACAUGCUGAAAAGGUUCCGCAAGGAACUGUAUUUAUUAGAUACAAGACCAAUGGGCCUCGGCUCUUUUGGUGAAUCAUGAUAACUUCUCGAAUCGUAUGGCCUCGUGCCGACGAUGCUCCAUUCAAAUACCUGCCCUAUCAAGUUUCGAUGGUAGGAUAGAGGCCUACCAUGCUUACGACGGGUAACGGGGAAUAAGGGUUCGAUUCCGGAGAGAGAGCCUGAGAAACGGCUCUCAUAACUAAGGUUAGCAGCAGGCGCGCAAAUUAUCCACUCUCAAUUCGAGGAGAUAGUGACAAUAAAUAACAAUAGCGAGCUCUUUAGGGUUUGCUAAUUGGAAUGAGUACAAUCUAAAUCCCUUAACGAGGAUCAAUUGGAGGGCAAGUCUGGUGCCAGCAGCCGCGUAAUUCCAGCUCCAAUAGCGUAUAUUAAAGUUGUUGCCGUUAAAAAGCUCGUAGUCGAACUUCGGCCCUAGCUAGCCGGUCCGCUUAUUUGAGUGUGUACUGGAUCUAGUUGGGGCUUUACCUCCUGGUGAACGGAGAUGUCCUUUAUUGGGCGUUUUCGGGAACCCGGACAUUUACUUUGAAAAAAUUAGAGUGUUCAAAGCAGCAUGUUUGCCCGAAUACAUUAGCAUGGAAUAAUAGAAUAGGACGUGCGAUCCUAUUGUGUUGGUCUAUAGAGAUCGCCGUAAUGAUGAAUAGGGGCGGUUGGGGCCAUUUGUAUUCAAUUGCUAGAGGUGAAAUUCUUGGAUUUAUUGAAGACAAACUACUGCGAAAGCAUUUGGCAAGGACGCUUUCAUUGAUCAAGAACGAAGGUCGGGGGAUCGAAAACGAUCAGAUACCGUUGUAGUCUCGACAGUAAACGAUGCCGACUAGGGAUCGGUGGAGGUAUUCUUUGAUGACUCCAUCGGCACCUGAAGAGAAAUCUUUGAGUCUAGGUUCGGGGGGGAGUAUGGUCGCAAGGCUGAAACUUAAAGGAAUUGACGGAAGGGCACCACCAGGAGUGGAGCCUGCGGCUUAAUUUGACUCAACACGGGGAAACUCACCAGGUCCAGACACAAUGAGGAUUGACAGAUUGAUAGCUCUUUCUUGAUCUUGUGGUUGGUGGUGCAUGGCCGUUCUUAGUUCGUGGAUUGAUUUGUCUGCUUUAUUGCGACAACGAACGAGACCUUAACCUGCUAAAUAGAACACUCGGCUUUGGCUGAGUGCUUUCUUCUUAGAGGGACAAUUGGUUUCAAGCCAAUGGAAGUUAGGCAAUAACAGGUCUGUGAUGCCCUUAGAUGUUCUGGGCCGCACGCGCGCUACACUGACAGAGCCAGCGAGUACAUUUUUCCUUGGCCGGAAGGCCUGGGUAAUCUUGUGAAACUCUGUCGUGAUGGGGAUAGAACAUUGCAAUUAUUGUUCUUCAACGAGGAAUUCCUAGUAAGCGUGAGUCAUCAGCUCGCGUUGAUUACGUCCCUGCCCUUUGUACACACCGCCCGUCGCUACUACCGAUUGAAUGGCUUAGUGAGGUCUUCGGAUCGGCGCUUGGGAUCCGGCAACGGAACCUGAAUGCUGAAAAGUUGCACGAACUUGGUCAUUUAGAGGAAGUAAAAGUCGUAACAAGGUA